UCCGUAGGUGGAUAAUUAAGUCAGAGGUGAAAUCCUGCAGCUCAACUGUAGAAUUGCCUUUGAUACUGGUUAUCUUGAGUCAUUAUGAAGUGGUUAGAAUGUGUAGUGUAGCGGUGAAAUGCAUAGAUAUUACACAGAAUACCGAUUGCGAAGGCAGAUCACUAAUAAUGUACUGACACUGAGGGACGAAAGCGUGGGGAGCGAACAGGAUUAGAUACCCUGGUAUCC
rnacentral:rRNA from 1 species